AUUGAACGCUGGCGGCAGGCCUAACACAUGCAAGUCGAACGAGUGGCGGACGGGUGAGUAAUGUCUGGGAAACGGCCUGAUGGAGGGGGAUAACUACUGGAAACGGUAGCUAAUACCGCCUACCAUCGGAUGUGCCCAGCUGGGAUUAGCUUUUAGGGGGGGGAACGGCGCACCUAGGCGACGAUCCCGAGCUGGUCUGAGAGGAUGACCAGCGACACGGGAACUGAGACACUGUCCAGACUCCUACGGGAGGCAGCAGUGGGGAAGAUUGCACAAUGGGCGCAAGCCUGAUGCAGCCAUGCCGCGUGUAUGAAGAAGGCCUUCGGGUUGUAAAGUACUUUCAGCGGGGAGGCGUUACCCGCAGAAGAAGCACCGGCUAACUCCGUGCCAGCCGCCGCGGUAAUAC
rnacentral:rRNA from 1 species